AGCUCGAUGAUUACAUGCCUUAUGGGCUGUAUACGCUAUUCCGAUUUAAAGCAUGAAGAAUCAAUUUUUUAAGUAUGAGAGCU
rnacentral:snoRNA from 1 species